AUGGGCAACGGCGGCGGCGCCAACGUGGUGGCGCCCGGCUACACCAAGGGCUCCGGCCUCGGCGCCGAGAUCAUCGGCACCUUCGUCCUCGUCUACACCGUCUUCUCCGCCACCGACGCCAAGAGGAACGCCAGGGACUCUUACGUUCCGAUCCUCGCCCCGCUGCCAAUCGGGUUCGCGGUGUUCCUGGUCCACCUGGCCACCAUCCCCAUCACCGGCACCGGCAUCAACCCAGCGAGGAGCCUCGGCGCGGCCAUCAUCUACAACAGGGAGCACGCCUGGUCAGACCACUGGAUCUUCUGGGUCGGCCCCUUCAUCGGCGCUGCGCUGGCCGCCGUCUACCACCAGGUGGUCAUCAGAGCCAUCCCGUUCAAGACCAAGUCCUAA
rnacentral:rRNA from 1 species